rnacentral:rRNA from 1 species
ACAGUCACUGACAUUAGAUACCCGUGUAGUCCAGGGUGUAAACGCUGCAGACUUGGUGUUGGAAGCCCUUUGGGGGCAUUCAGUGCCGGAGAGAAGUUGUUAAGUCUGCUACUUGGGGAGUACGUCCGCAAGGAUGAAACUUAAAGGAAUUGGCGGGGGAGCACCGCAACGGGAGGAGCGUGCGGUUUAAUUGGAUUCAACACCGUAAAACUCACCAGGGAAGACUGUUACAUGAAGGCCGAGAUGAAGACUCUGCUAGAUUUUCAG